rnacentral:rRNA from 1 species
UACGGGGGGGGCGAGCGUUGUUCGGAAUUACUGGGCGUAAAGGGUUUGUAGGCGGUCUGCUAAGUCAGACGUGAAAUCCCUCAGCUUAACUGGGGAACUGCGUCUGAUACUGGCGGACUUGAGGACAGGAGAGGAACGCGGAAUUCCAGGUGUAGCGGUGAAAUGCGUAGAUAUCUGGAGGAACACCGGUGGCGAAGGCGGCAUCCUGGACCAACACUGACGCUGAGGAGCGAAAGCCAGGGGAGCAAACGGG